GGCAGGCGCAGUGGAGUGUGCCUGUUGUCUCAGCCCUUGGGAGGCUGAGGCGGGAGGAUCGCUUGAGCUCAGGAGUUCAGACCAGCCUGGACAACAUAGAAAGACCCUGUUUCAA
rnacentral:sRNA from 1 species